CAGCAAGCUGGUCCUCUGCUCCCGACUCGCUCAACUCAUGUAAUCUGGUUUCAGCCUUAUAUUUUUAAUACUACUCUAACCAUAAGUUUUUAUUGUUGUUUUUAUUUGCAUCUAUGAUAUUUGAUAAUGUCUUUAAUGAAAUUUAUGUUUAGUGACUAUAAUUUGUCAUUUUCCCACACAUUUUGUAUAAAAUCUAAAUUCCGUUAUUUUAAAAUAUAUAGUUCUGAGCUGUCUCUUUAAGACAAAUAUUUUCUUAUUUUUGCCCUGUUUUGGAAUUUAGUUUAUAUUAUAUCAAGGUACCCCAUUUGAAACAAGAAGAUAAUAAGAAGGUAAGCACCCUUGUUUCUCAGGAGGCAGAUGGCUGAAUAUGUGAUGACAGAGGCCCAUUUACUUUGCCAUUUACUUACAGUGCUGUCUGUCAUGUAGUUAAAUGAUUAUUGUGUGUUUUUUCUGCUUUAAUGGGACUCUAAGCUGAAAUCUUUUCCUUGAAGCAAAUAAAGGAUAGGCUUUUAAGAGUUUACCAACGUG
rnacentral:lncRNA from 1 species